rnacentral:rRNA from 3 species
AGACCGAUAGCGAACAAGUAGAGUGAUCGAAAGAUGAAAAGCACUUUGAAAAGAGAGUUAAACAGCACGUGAAAUUGUUGAAAGGGAAGCGUUGUCCACCAGACUCGCCCGGGGGGGUUCAGCCGGCACGUGUGCCGGUGUACUCCUCUCCGGGCGGGCCAGCAUCGGUUUGGGCGGCUGGUGAAAGGCCCCGGGAAUGUAACACCCUCCGGGGUGCCUUAUAGCCCGGGGUGCCAUACAGCCAGCCUGGACCGAGGCCCGCGCUUCGGCGAGGAUGCUGGCGUAAUGGUGGUCAACGGCCCGUCUUGAAACACGGACCAAG